UAGUAUGAAUGGCACCACGAGGGUUAUACUGUCUCCUCUUUCUAAUCAGUGAAACUAAUCUCCCCGUGAAGAAGCGGGGAUCAACCUAUAAGACGAGAAGACCCUAUGGAGCUUUAAACUUAAAACAUUUGCCCAAACAAUCUUAAUUCCAGAAAAAUAAACCUGUUCAACAUUAAUGAUUUUUAAGUUUUCGGUUGGGGUGACCACGGAGCAAAAUUUAACCUCCGCACUGAAAGGACCUUAAACCUUAGCCAAGAGCCACGACUCUAUGCAUCAAUAAUUUGACACCAAUUGACCCAAUAUAUUGAGCAAUGAACCAAGUUACCCUAGGGAUAACAGCGCAAUCUACUUCAAGAGCCCCUAUCGACAAGUAG
rnacentral:rRNA from 1 species